GAUGAACGCUGGCGGCGUGCCUAAUACAUGCAAGUCGAGCGAACAGACGAGGAGCUUGCUCCUCUGACGUUAGCGGCGGACGGGUGAGUAACACGUGGACAACCUACCUAUAAGACUGGGAUAACUUCGGGAAACCGGAGCUAAUACCGGAUAAUAUAUUGAACCGCAUGGUUCAAUAGUGAAAGACGGUUUUGCUGUCACUUAUAGAUGGAUCCGCGCCGCAUUAGCUAGUUGGUAAGGUAACGGCUUACCAAGGCGACGAUGCGUAGCCGACCUGAGAGGGUGAUCGGCCACACUGGAACUGAGGCACGGUCCAGACUCCUACGGGAGGCAGCAGUAGGGAAUCUUCCGCAAUGGGCGAAAGCCUGACGGAGCAACGCCGCGUGAGUGAUGAAGGUCUUCGGAUCGUAAAACUCUGUUAUUAGGGAAGAACAAAUGUGUAAGUAACUAUGCACGUCUUGACGGUACCUAAUCAGAAAGCCACGGCUUACUACGUG
rnacentral:rRNA from 1 species